rnacentral:rRNA from 1 species
ACGCUGGCGGCAGGCCUAACACAUGCAAGUCGAGCGGUAGAGAGAAGCUUGCUUCUCUUGAGAGCGGCGGACGGGUGAGUAAUGCCUAGGAAUCUGCCUGGUAGUGGGGGAUAACGUUCGGAAACGGACGCUAAUACCGCAUACGUCCUACGGGAGAAAGCAGGGGACCUUCGGGCCUUGCGCUAUCAGAUGAGCCUAGGUCGGAUUAGCUAGUUGGUGGGGUAAUGGCUCACCAAGGCGACGAUCCGUAACUGGUCUGAGAGGAUGAUCAGUCACACUGGAACUGAGACACGGCCCAGACUCCUACGGGAGGCAGCAGUGGGGAAUAUUGGACAAUGGGCGAAAGCCUGAUCCAGCCAUGCCGCGUGUGUGAAGAAGGUCUUCGGAUUGUAAAGCACUUUAAGUUGGGAGGAAGGGCAGUAAAUUAAUACUUUGCUGUUUUGACGUUACCGACAGAAUAAGCACCGGCUAACUCUGUGCCAGCAGCCGCGGUAAUACAGAGGGUGCAAGCGUUAAUCGGAAUUACUGGGCGUAAAGCGCGCGUAGGUGGUUCGUUAAGUUGGAUGUGAAAUCCCCCGGCUCAACCUGGGAACUGCAUUCAAAACUGACGAGCUAGAGUAUGGUAGAGGGUGGUGGAAUUUCCUGUGUAGCGGUGAAAUGCGUAGAUAUAGGAAGGAACACCAGUGGCGAAGGCGACCACCUGGACUGAUACUGACACUGAGGUGCGAAAGCGUGGGGAGCAAAC